AACGAACGCUGGCGGCAGGCUUAACACAUGCAAGUCGAGCGCCCCGCAAGGGGAGCGGCAGACGGUGAGUAACGCGCGGGAAUCUACCCAUCUCUACGGAAUAACGCAUGGAAACGUGUGCUAAUACCGUAUACGUCCUUCGGGAGAAAGAUUUAUCGGAGAUGGAUGAGCCCGCGUUGGAUUAGCUAGUUGGUGGGGUAAAGGCCUACCAAGGCGACGAUCCAUAGCUGGUCUGAGAGGAUGAUCAGCCACACUGGGACUGAGACACGGCCCAGACUCCUACGGGAGGCAGCAGUGGGGAAUAUUGGACAAUGGGCGCAAGCCUGAUCCAGCCAUGCCGCGUGAGUGAUGAAGGCCCUAGGGUUGUAAAGCUCUUUCACCGGUGAAGAUAAUGACGGUAACCGGAGAAGAAGCCUCGGCUAACUUCGUGCCAGCCGCCGCGGUAAGAC
rnacentral:rRNA from 1 species